rnacentral:tRNA from 1 species
UAUAUUUUAGUAUACAAUGUACAUUAAAUUUUGAUUUUAAAAGAAAAGAUUAUUAGUCUUUAAAUAUAA